rnacentral:rRNA from 1 species
AGUGGCGAACGGGUGCGUAACACGUGAGAAACCUGCCCCGAUCUCUGGAAUAACAGUUGGAAACGACUGCUAAUACCGGAUACCACCGGUGCACCACCUGGUGUGCCGAUGAAAGAUUCAUCGGAUUGGGAGGGUCUCGCGGCCUAUCAGCUAGUUGGAGAGGUAACGGCUCACCAAGGCAUCGACGGGUAGCUGGUCUGAGAGGAUGAUCAGCCACACUGGGACUGAGACACGGCCCAGACUCCUACGGGAGGCAGCAGUGGGGAAUCUUGCACAAUGGGCGCAAGCCUGAUGCAGCAACGCCGCGUGCGGGAAGAAGGCCCUAGGGUUGUAAACCGCUUUCAGUAGGGAAGAAAAUGACGGUACCUACAGAAGAAGGUGCGGCCAACUACGUGCCAGCAGCCGCGGUGACACGUAGGCACCAAGCGUUAUCCGGAUUUAUUGGGCGUAAAGAGCUCGUAGGCGGUUCGGUAAGUCGGGUGUGAAAACUCUGGGCUCAACCCAGAGAGGCCACCCGAUACUGCUGUGACUAGAGUGCGGUAGGGGAGCGGGGAAUUCAUGGUGUANCGGUGAAAUGCGCANAUAUCAUGAGGAACACCAGCGGCGAAGGC